GCUUCUAGGUGACCAUGGAGGCUCUACUCAGUGUUCAGCAGCUUCUAGGUGACCAUGGAGGCUCUACUCAGUGUUCAGCAGCUUCUAGGUGACCAUGGAGGCUCUACUCAGUGUUCAGCAGCUUCUAGGUGACCAUGGAGGCUCUACAAUGUGUUCAGCAGCUUUCUUCUGCUGGUGUCUUGCAGGUUCAGCAAGCUUCCCGGUUUUAUCCUGCUGGAAAACGUCAAAGGCUUUGAGAUCUCCUCUGCCAGGGAGAGAUUGCUGCAGACGCUGCUGGGAUGUGGAUACACCUUCCAGGAGUUCAUGAUCUCCCCAACAAGUGUGGGGAUCCCAAACUCCCGUCUGCGUUAUUUCCUGGUUGCUAAACUUUCUG